GUGAAGCGGCAACAGCUCAAAUUUGAAAGCUGGCUCCUUCGGAGUCCGCAUUGUAAUUUGUAGAGGAUGAUUCGGCGAGGGCUCCCGCCUAAGUCCACUGGAACGUGGCGUCAUAGAGGGUGAGAAUCCCGUAUGCGGUGGGUUGCCUUAGCCAUGUGAAUCUCCUUCGACGAGUCGAGUUGUUUGGGAAUGCAGCUCUAAAUGGGAGGUAAAUUUCUUCUAAAGCUAAAUACCGGCCAGAGACCGAUAGCGCACAAGUAGAGUGAUCGAAAGAUGAAAAGCACUUUGGAAAGAGAGUUAAAAAGUACGUGAAAUUGUUGAAAGGGAAGGGCUUGCAACCAGACUUGUCCGCAGUUGCUCAGCCGGUCUCCUGACCGGCGUACUCUUCUGCGGCCAGGCCAGCAUCAGUUCGGGCGGUCGGAUAAAGACCCGGGGAAUGUAGCUCCUCUCGGGGAGUGUUAUAGCCCUGGGUGGAAUGCGACCAGCCUGGACUGAGGAUCUCGCUUCGGCAAGGAUGCUGGCGUAAUGGUUGUAAGCCGCCCGUCUUGAAACACGGACC
rnacentral:rRNA from 1 species